rnacentral:rRNA from 1 species
CGGGGUGCAGCAGGCGCGAAAACUUUGCAAUGCGGGAAACCGUGACAAGGGAACUCUGAGUGCCCGUUAAAUCGGGCUGUCCAUCGGUUUAAAUAACCGGUGAAGAAAGGGCCGGGCAAGACCGGUGCCAGCCGCCGCGGUAAUACCGGCGGCUCGAGUGGUGGCCACUAUUACUGGGCUUAAAGCGUUCGUAGCUGGUUUGUUAAGUCUCUGGGGAAAUCUUCCGGCUUAACCGGAAGGCGUCUCAGGGAUACUGGCAGACUAGGGACCGGGAGAGGUGAGAGGUACUCCAGGGGUAGGAGUGAAAUCCUGUAAUCCUUGGGGGACCACCUGUGGCGAAGGCGUCUCACCAGAACGGCUCCGACAGUGAGGGACGAAAGCUGGGGGAGCAAACCGGAUUAGAUACCCGGGUAGUCCCAGCUGUAAACGAUGCGCGUUAGGUGUAUCGGUGACCACGAGUCACCGAGGUGCCGAAGAGAAAUCGUGAAACGUGCCGCCUGGGAAGUACGGUCGCAAGGCGGAAACUUAAAGGAAUUGGCGGGG